GCAAGUCGAACGUAUUUAUUUACGUGGCAAACGGGUGCGUAACACGUACUUAUCUGCCCUGAAGCGGGGGAUAACAUCGGAAACGGUGAUAAUCCGCCAUAAUCCCUACGGGGGAAAGAUUUAUCGCUUUAGGAGGAGGGUGCGGCCUAUUAGUUAGUUGGUGAGGUAAUAGCUCACCAAGGCGAUGAUGGGUAGCCGGCCUGAGAGGGUGAAC
rnacentral:rRNA from 1 species